UUGAAACGGGUAUGAACAAAACCUAAAAAACAAAAUAAUAAAAAAGAAGAAGAAGAAAAAAAAAAAAAAAAAAACUAAACAAUUAAAUCCCUCUCUAUAUCUCUAUAUCUCUAUAUCUCACAAUUCUCAAAUGGCCCCUAGUUGUCAAAAGCAGACUCAAUCCUUCAAUCCCCCUUUUUGGGUGUCUAAAAAGAUCAACAUAACAAACAUCCUUUACAACUUUUCUUUUUCUUUCAUGAAAGAAAAACUUGUCUCAUCUUUAUAUUAAUAUUUAAAUGUUGAACUUCAUAUUUGUAUAAUUUACUUCAUUUUAUUUAUUUAUUUAUUUUUUUCUUCUUCUGUAAAUAAGUACCUGCAUCCCCCAUUAAAAGAACCAAUAAGAAAACGCAGGCGGUUAAGAGAGAGAGAGAGAGAGAGAGAGAGAGAGUAUGGAGUAGGAGUCAGUGAUUCUAGUGGGUUCCUGCAAAAAAAAGACCCCACCUCUGUUUCUCUACCAUAUCUAAUUUCCAAAAUUUUUUAUUUUUAGUUUUAUUUUUUUGAAAAAAUAAUUUUUUUUUUUUUUUGGAUUCGAACCCCACAAGAGGGACCUGAGAGUCUGAGACAGGCCUGCAAUUAGGACAAGAUUUUGUUGUACUGAAGUUUUGAAAAAGCCAGCUGAUAAUAUUUACUACUAGUACACAAAAACACAACACCAGUGUGUGUCGUUGUGAUAAAUAAAUAAAACCAAAGCAAAGCAAAAGCUACAAAGUCUUUAAAACAGGUUAGGUUUCUUCACAGAGAAGUAGUUAAAACAGAAACGAAAAGCAUAUAGAUAGGGACAUCCCCCAGCCCCGGCGCCAGCACCAUCAGCGGUGAUCUCUACCUUCCUUCGUGAAUUUCAAAGGCAGGUAUAGUAGUAGUAAAUUAUUAUGAUGAAUUGUUCAUUUGUUUUUGUGUGUGAUUAAGUAUAUGAAUAUAACAACCAUUUGUUUUAAUAGAUGAAGAUCAUGAGAAUGGUCUAGAGUUGAAGCCUUUGCAUGGCGAGUCACAGAAUUGGAGCUGCUGGUGGGUUAUCUCACGACUCUGCAGGUCCUUCAAAUCUCCAUCACCACCAUGUCCCUUAUGCAACAUCUCUUCAUCAAGGCUUCAUGUAUGCUGUAUAUGGGUUUUUUUUUUCCUCUCUUUUUUUUUUGGGGGGGGGGGGGGGG
rnacentral:lncRNA from 1 species